GUACUCACUUUGGCAGCACAGAUACUAAGAGCGAAAUGAUACAGAGAUUAGCAUGGCCUGUGUACACGGAUGGAAUGCAAAUUUGUGAUGCAUUCCAUAUAUUU
ensembl:snRNA U6 U6 spliceosomal RNA